rnacentral:rRNA from 1 species
CCUACGGGUGGCAGCAGGGAGGAAUAGUGGGCAAGGGGCGCGAGCCUGAACCAGCCAAGGCGCGUGAGGGAAGACGGUCCUAUGGAUUGUAAACCUCUUUUGUCGGGGAGCAAAAGACGCCACGCGUGGCGUUCCGAGAGUACCCGAAGAAAAAGCAUCGGCUAACUCCGUGCCAGCAGCCGCGGUAAUACGGAGGAUGCGAGCGUUAUCCGGAUGUAUUGGGUUAAAAGGGUGCGCAGGCGGAAGAUCAAGUCAGCGGUAAAAUUGAGAGGCUCAACCUCUUCGGGCCGUUGAAACCGGUUUUCUUGAGUGGGUGAGAGGUAUGCGGAAUGCGUGGUGUAGCGGUGAAAUGCAGAGAUAUCACGCAGAACUCCGAUUGCGAAGGCAGCAUACCGGCGCUCAACUGACGCUCAUGCACGAAAGUGUGGGUAUCGAACAGGAUUAGAUACCCGAGUAGUC